AGGCUUUUUCAAUCAGAUGAAUCUACUUCCUUGUCUGGGUGUUUUUAAAUUGCCCAGACGCGAUCCUAUUAGUCCAUCCCACCUCUUACUGGGCAAUUGCGGGUGUCUGAUUUCGUGGGAGUUCUUAACCCCGGCUAUUUCUUGUAAUCCUCUUGAGUAAGCAGGGAUUGCUGUUCGUCAUUUUUUGUAAAUCACCAUCUUGUUUUCGGCAAGAAUCGUGGCAGUAAUGUGGUUUGAAGACGAAUGGAAAUGAUGUGACGGAUCUGGCGUCAUGUCACUUCCAGUUUCAGUUUAUGCAUGUAAAACGUCCAUAGAUAUAAAGGGCAGAGAAGGAAAAAUUAUUAAAUCGAGGCCAAAGUAAGUAUAUAGAAAAAC